GUCUACGGCCUUGCCACCCUGAACAAGCCCGAUUCUGUCUGAUCUCAGAAGCUAAGCAGGGUUGGCCCUGGUUAGUACUUGGAUGGGAGACCACCUAGGAAGACCAGGUGCUGUAGGCA
rfam:Pteropus alecto contig97338, whole genome shotgun sequence.